rnacentral:tRNA from 1 species
AUUUGUAUAAUUUAAUAAAAAUAUUAUAUUUUCAAUAUAAAAAUAAGAAGUUAUUCUUUACAAAUA